AGAGUUUGAUCCAUGGCUCAGGAUGAACGCUGGCGGCGUGCUUAACACAUGCAAGUCGAACGAACCUUCGGGUUAGUGGCGGACGGGUGAGUAACGCGUAAGAAUCUGCCCUCAGGAGGGGGAUAACAGCUGGAAACGGCUGCUAAUACCCCAUAUGCCGCGAGGUGAAAUGAAUUUCGCCUGAGGAUGAGCUCGCGUCUGAUUAGCUAGUUGGUGUAGGUAAUGGCUCACCAAGGCAUCGAUCAGUAGCUGGUCUGAGAGGAUGAUCAGCCACACUGGGACUGAGACACGGCCCAGACUCCUACGGGAGGCAGCAGUGGGGAAUUUUCCGCAAUGGGCGAAAGCCUGACGGAGCAACGCCGCGUGAGGGAUGAAGGCCUCUGGGCUGUAAACCUCUUUUAUCAAGGAAGAAGAUCUGACGGUACUUGAUGAAUAAGCCACGGCUAAUUCCGCGCCAGCAGCCGCGGUAAUACGGGAGUGGCAAGCGUUAUCCGGAAUUAUUGGGCGUAAAGCGUCCGCAGGCGGCCCUUCAAGUCUGCUGUUAAAAAGUGGAGCUUAACUCCAUCAUGGCAGUGGAAACUGAGGGGCUUGAGUGUGGUAGGGGCAGAGGGAAUUCCCGGUGUAGCGGUGAAAUGCGUAGAUAUCGGGAAGAACACCAGUGGCGAACGCGCUCUGCUGGGCCAUCACUGACGCUCAUGGACGAAAGCCAGGGGAGCGAAAGGGAUUAGAUACCCCUGUAGUCCUGGCCGUAAACGAUGAACACUAGGUGUCGGGGGAAUCGACCCCCUCGGUGUCGUAGCCAACGCGUUAAGUGUUCCGCCUGGGGAGUACGCACGCAAGUGUGAAACUCAAAGGAAUUGACGGGGGCCCGCACAAGCGGUGGAGUAUGUGGUUUAAUUCGAUGCAACGCGAAGAACCUUACCAGGGUUUGACAUCCUGCGAAUCUCUUGGAAACGAGAGAGUGCCUUCGGGAACGCAGUGACAGGUGGUGCAUGGCUGUCAUCAGCUCGUGUCGUGAGAUGUUGGGUUAAGUCCCGCAACGAGCGCAACCCACGUCUUUAGUUGCCAGCAUUUAGUUGGGCACUCUAGAGAGACCGCCGGUGAUAAACCGGAGGAAGGUGUGGAUGACGUCAAGUCAUCAUGCCCCUUACAUCCUGGGCUACACACGUACUACAAUGCUACGGACAAAGGGCAGCAAGUUCGCGAGGACAAGCAAAUCCCAUAAACCGUGGCUCAGUUCAGAUCGUAGGCUGCAACUCGCCUACGUGAAGGAGGAAUCGCUAGUAAUCGCAGGUCAGCAUACUGCGGUGAAUACGUUCCCGGGCCUUGUACACACCGCCCGUCACACCAUGGAAGUUGGCCACGCCCGAAGCCGUUACUCCAACCCUUGUGGAGGAGGACGUCGAAGGUGGGGCUGAUGACUGGGGUGAAGUCGUAACAAGGUAACCGUA
rnacentral:rRNA from 1 species